rnacentral:pre_miRNA from 2 species
GCAAUCCGAUCGGAUGACCAUCUGAUCGGAUAGCCACCCGAUCGGAUGACCACCCGAUCGGAUGGCCACCCGAUCGGAUGAC